GGAGCGGUAGUUCAGCGGUUAGAAUACCGGCCUGUCACGCCGGGGGUCGCGGGUUCGAGUCCCGUCCGCUCCGCCA
rnacentral:tRNA from 1 species